rnacentral:lncRNA from 1 species
UUCUGUUAGUAUAAACUCCACCUAUUAAUCAAUAAUCUCUUUUUUUAGUUAAUGUUUAACUGAAAGAGGACUAAGACUUCAGACUAGCUGGAGAUCUGACACACUGAAAUCUUUUCUUAACCUUGCUAUGAACGUUUACAGAGCCAACUACGUGAGCCAUUUCUGUGGUACCCUGCGCUUACGGACUUCCUUGGGGGACAUCUCUACGAAACUGGGCGACCGAGCCCUAGCGCUGUCCGGAUGAGAGCAUGCCCCCAUCGACACCCGGGUCGCUGGCGAGAAGAUGGCCCUGCGGCUCUGAACCCUGCCGAGGGCCCGUGCCCUGCCCACAGCACCAGCGGCAGAGCGGAGAGAGAGGAUCGGAAAUGCUGCACAGCUGCAGUAUGAAACAUACCAUAUUUGCAAAACAGAGCUUGACGUGUCUGCAUAACUCAUUGCUGUGGAAAGAGUCAUCAGGAUGAUGUAUUGAAACACAGC